rnacentral:rRNA from 1 species
GUUAACGGCUGCAUUAACGUGAGUGUACUAAGGUAGCGUAGUCGCUUGCCCCUUAAUUGGUGGCUGGUAUGAAUGGGGGCUUUGGGGGCCCUCUGUGUCGAAGAGAUACCUUUAAAUUUACUUGUGUGUGAAGAGGCAGACAUAAAAAAAAAGGACGACAAGACCCUAGAAGCUAGCCUUUAGUCUAAUUUGAAUGAUUAAUUUAGGGUUGUACUUAGGUUUUUUGAACAAUUGGGUGAUGGUUUGUUGGGGCAACAGAGUGUGUUUUAUUGCUGGUUUAUCAUUGUUUUACUGUCGUGUCUUAUCCAAAGUGUGAAAAUGAGUAGUUACUCUAGGGAUAACAGCGUUAUUUUUCUUUAUAGUCCGUAUAGAAAGAAAAGAUUGCGACCUCGAUGUUGGAUUAAGGUGUCCUGAAGGUGCAGAAGCCUUUUAGGGUUGGUCUGUUCGCCCAUAAAAACCCUUACA